CUCUUUUUAAAAUUGUAAAUAGCUGAAAAGGGAAACACCAAUUUUAAAUGAAAACUGAAGCAUUUUACAUCUAUCUAGAUGUAAAUUAUGCUUUUAUUUUGAUUGCUAAAGCAUGAAAAAUGUGGAAACCCAGAAUUUUCAGUCCUACAGGAGUAAAGAGGUGCUCACAACAUAUGUGAAAUGUAUGGUGACCUAUUUGUUCCAUCUCUGCUUUUUUCCCUCUGCUAACAGGGGAACCUUUGCCUUGCCAAACCUUUAACAGGUAAAGAUUAAAAUUUUACA
rnacentral:lncRNA from 1 species